UUUGCUUAACGUGUUUGACUCUGUUUUGGUUGUUCAGCACCUGAUCUUAUCUGUGGUCCUGCAGAUUUCUGAGUGGGUACAAAAGCUGGCUUUCCUGGAGAACUCACUGAUUAAACAAACAGCUUGAAUCGGUGAAGAGCACGGCCUCUGUCACUGAGAGGAAGACAGCUCAGCACCAGGCAGACUCAUUCAAACACAUUUCCAGAAUGAUGAUGAAGAUCUGUGCCAUCCUACUUCUGUUUGUGGCCUCAGUCAACACACAGAUUUCAAGCUCGACUGCAACCACAGGGGAUCCAACAGCAACCACAGGGGCUCCAACAGCAACCACAGCUGCUACAACAGCAACCACAGCUGCUCCAACAGCAACCACAGCUGCUCCAAACACAACUACAACUGCAGCAACAACUACAGCUGCUCCAAACACAACUACAACUGCAGCAACUGCAGCAACAACAGCCACAACUGCAGCAACAACCACA